GCCAGGAUCCCGGCAUCAGGAUGCUGACCGUUGGGAUCCCAACUGCCGGUUACACGAUCCCAACGCAUGAUAGAGCAUAUGGUACUUGCCUAUUCUCCCGCAAUGUCUUGGAGACUCCAGGAUAGCAAGCACCAAGGUGUAGGCAUAUCUUCAGUAAUGAUUGGCGUACCCCACUCACUAGGUUUGUAAGGUGAAGGAAACACAUAAAGGUAUCUUUGUCUUCAGAUGCGUACCCUACUUACAGGGUUUAAAGAUGACCACAAGCGUAUCAAGGUUUCUUUUUCCCUUGGUUAUCAACUGGCAGCAACUUUAUAUUUCUUCACAGUAUCUCUCACGGUGUCAAGUAUGUGGAAAGAAAUUUAAAAGACAAAUGUGUAGACUAAACCAGUGAAUUAGUGCAAAAAAAGAAGAAUGUGUACCGUAAAAAAAUAUACCUGUAUAUAAAGGUAUAUAUAUGUGUGUAUCUAAGGAUAUAGUGAUCCUCACAAAUAAAAUAUUCUAUUUC